rnacentral:rRNA from 1 species
UACGUAGGGGGCGAGCGUUCGUCCGAAGUUACUGGGCGUAAAGCGCGCGUAGGCGGGUCUCUAAGUCUGGUGUGAAAGGUUGAGGGCUCAACCCCCAACAGUGCACUGGAUACUGGGGACCUUGAGUUGGGGGAGAGGAGAGUGGAAUUCCUGGUGUAGCGGUGAAAUGCGUAGAUAUCAGGAGGAACACCGAUGGCGAAGGCAGCUCUCUGGCCCCAAACUGACGCUGGAGGUGCGAAAGCGUGGGGAGCGAACGGG